AACGAACGCUGGCGGCAUGCCUAACACAUGCAAGUCGAACGAGAUCUUCGGGUCUAGUGGCGCACGGGUGCGUAACGCGUGGGAAUCUGCCCUUUGGUUCGGAAUAACAGUUGGAAACGACUGCUAAUACCGGAUGAUGACGAAAGUCCAAAGAUUUAUCGCCAGAGGAUGAGCCCGCGUAGGAUUAGCUAGUUGGUGUGGUAAAGGCGCACCAAGGCGACGAUCCUUAGCUGGUCUGAGAGGAUGAUCAGCCACACUGGGACUGAGACACGGCCCAGACUCCUACGGGAGGCAGCAGUGGGGAAUAUUGGACAAGGGGCGAAAGCCUGAUCCAGCAAUGCCGCGUGAGUGAUGAAGGCCUUAGGGUUGUAAAGCUCUUUUACCCGGGAUGAUAAUGACAGUACCGGGAGAAUAAGCUCCGGCAAACUCCGUGCCAGCCGCCGCAGUAA
rnacentral:rRNA from 1 species